rnacentral:misc_RNA from 3 species
AACGCACCUUGCGCUCCUUGGUAUUCCGAGGAGCAUGCCUGUUUGAGUGUCAUUAAAUCCUCAACCCCGUCCGUCGGUCAGGGCUUGGACUUUGGAGCGUGCUGGCGAAGGUCGGCUCCUCUUUAAAUGCAUCAGCGGAGAAAAACAAACCUUUUCCCCCCUUCAGCGUGAUAACUGCGUUGCGCUGUGGUCGCGAAAGGGUCCGCUCAUAAUUGUCCUCGGACAAACACCAAAUCUGUUUUGACCUCAGAUCAGGUAGGACUACCCGCUGAACUUAA